rnacentral:rRNA from 1 species
GUCUUCUACACUUAUGGAAGCCUUUGCAGCUGGAAACAGUAAAGCCAGACGACCACAAAAAAUCUGGUUCUCAUGCAAGUCAGCGUCAGCUGGCGACACUUUCGAAUUGACGGGGACACCCUAAGAGCCCUCUACACCAAGCUGGUUGCGGGAGACCCGCCAGUGGCCCGUGGGAAACUACGGGGUAUGGUAAAAGAGAGAGUGGAUGAUCUAGCUCUAGACACUACUGGUCGAGCUAGUGAAAUGGGCAAUCCGCAGCGAAGCUCCUAGAAGUGAUCGGCCCAGUUCCGCAAGUAGGCGGCGGGUAGCGAACUAUGGAGAACGUUCACAGACUAGGUGGAAGUGGGUGAGCCCUGAGAUAUGGGCUUGCUUAAGAUAUAGUCGGGCCCCAUGGGAAACCUUGGGGAUUGUUAUGCAGGGGCUGAGAGGGUAUGGGCGCAAGCCCAGGAAAAGCACGCCGCGGCCGCACAGGUGGUUCGUUCGCCGGGGGGAUGUCAGCUGUUUGUACAGGUGUGGUUGCACCGACAAACCGGUCUGGAGCUCCCGGAAAGAUGUCCCGCCGCCGUAAUAAGUCCUAACCGGGCUCGCCAGACGUUGCUGGCUGCUCCCGGCGGCGUGCACCCACCUGCCAGAAAAGGUCCGUUGAUGGAAGAGGGAGUCUUUUUUGAGUUGUUUUGUUGACCGCCUGCUGCGCCCGAGGCCAGCCCCCUAGGGGCCAGCCGCUCGAGGGCCAGCGCCCGGCUCGAUGAGCGCUCUCCCCUUAGUACCCCCUUCUGAGGACCUCACGACGGCGCCCUCUCGACAUGCCAGCCCCGCGGGGAGAUGCAGCUACCGUUCCGUAGGUGAACCUGCGGAAGGA